AUUGAACGCUGGCGGCAGGCCUAACACAUGCAAGUCGAGCGGAUGACGGGAGCUUGCUCCUUGAUUCAGCGGCGGACGGGUGAGUAAUGCCUAGGAAUCUGCCUGGUAGUGGGGGACAACGUUUCGAAAGGAACGCUAAUACCGCAUACGUCCUACGGGAGAAAGCAGGGGACCUUCGGGCCUUGCGCUAUCAGAUGAGCCUAGGUCGGAUUAGCUAGUUGGUGGGGUAAUGGCUCACCAAGGCGACGAUCCGUAACUGGUCUGAGAGGAUGAUCAGUCCCACUGGAACUGGGACACGGUCCAGACUCCUGCGGGAGGCAGCAGUGGGGAAUAUUGGACAAUGGGCGAAAGCCUGAUCCAGCCAUGCCGCGUGUGUGAAGAAGGUCUUCGGAUUGUAAAGCACUUUAAGUUGGGAGGAAGGGCAGUAAGUUAAUACCUUGCUGUUUUGACGUUACCGGCAGAAUAAGCACCGGCUAACUUCGUGCCAGCAGCCGCGGUAAUAC
rnacentral:rRNA from 1 species